rnacentral:lncRNA from 1 species
GGCGCGCGUCGGCCAGCGCCACCGGCAGCGUGACCACCAGCUGCCGCCGCGCCUUGUUGUACUGUGCCUUGCCGCGGCCGUCGUCCACCGGGUACGGCAGCGAGAGCCGCAGCCGGUAGUCGGGGUUUCUCGAGUCCAGGCACAGCAGCUUCCCCUUCACCUCCAGCUCCGCCCGCUCGACCGAGCGCAGCAGCGGCAGCUCGAUGGUGACCACCAGCUCGUGCGGCACGGUGCUCGGGGCCGCGUCGCGCGAGCAGCGGUAAUCCUGGAGGUCUACGUGGUGGCGCUGCACCACGGAGCAGCGCGGCUCCGUGGGCUCUGGGCGCUGCACGGCCUCGGGAGCGGGGGACGCGGGCGAGCGGGCAGUGUUCGCCGCCGCUGCCGCGGGGUAGCGGUAUGGAUAUGGGUCUUGGCGUUCCUGCGGUCCAGCCUGACGCCGAACUGCUGCUCCACCGCCUCCAGGGCCGUGGCGUCCAGCAUUUCGCGGAAGCGCUCGUGGCUCCGGGCCAGCGCCAGCGCUUCGGGGUGGAAGACCACGUCGUAGACGGUGUAGCGGGCGCCGUUGCGGCCGGCAUACUGGCGGCCGGGAGCCAGGCUAUAGGGCAGGGACCAGUGGCUGCCAGCUGCCGUGCCGCCGCGCCCCGGGCCGGGCCGGCUGCUAGGUACGCCUACCAGUGAGUUGCUGCACACGUUCACGUAGCAGCGGUGCUCCCCGUCCAGGCUGGUACGCAGCACAUGGCCCGGCUCAGGGUGCACGAACCGCACAUCCACCCCACGCUCCCGCUCCAGGGCUGUGAUCUCCUCCUCGUAGCGCCUCCGGUUCUCGGGGUCCGUGAUCUCCGCGGCGUACUCGGAGAACAUUCGGCGGAACUCUGGGUCCUGAAAGGCGGAGGUGAACCGCUGCACCUCCUCUCUGCUCAGAUCCAAGUCCUCCAGCGCUGAGGAGGCCGCCGCCUUGGCCAUGGUGACCCACACGGCCCAAUGCCCAGACCCAGUGAAGGAUCAGGGUGAAUUGAGUGUCUAGGAUGCGCUUCAGAGUCUGGCUCAUGGAGAACUGACCAGUCCAAGAAGGUAACGGCUGGAUUGUCAAGGCCGGGCAGCGCGUGCUUUGUUGCCAUAGUAACGCCUGGGAGGAGGGGCAGCGAUCUGGUAGAAAUGCUAGAAAUAGGCUCCACUGUUACUUCAAACCAAGCAGACACUACCUGCUACAGGUUUUAAAUUACUGUGUCAGGAUACGUGUACUUUGCAGUCUAUUGUGGUAACUGUCCUCAUCUUCAGCGCUGUGUCUUUAUCUUAUUAACUGUUUAAUUUCACCAACAAGAGAGAAGUUUACUAGCUAAUUCACAAACCUAACUUUAUCUGACUCUCUUUACUUUGUGGAACCAACGUUAGUAAACCCUUACCAUUUUCAGGUAUUCCACCUUAUAGUUGUCUCCCAGAAACCCUUGGGGGCAAAAGAUGACAAAACAAAUCCCAGAGAUUAAUAAGCAUCAGAAAGGUGUUCGCUUUUUAUAAUGUAAAUGCAAGCUCUCAAAUCACUUAGCAAAAUUACAGUUUGUCCUGAUCAAUUUCCUUGGGUUGAGAAUAGAAUUUAUAACUGCGCUUUUUUUUUAAACUAGAUAUCCUUAGAUUGACUCUGUAGUCUCUUAACAAUGCUCCACUAGGAACCAAUGCAGCAGAUGUAGUAGUUACAUAAUGGAACUUUACUGUGCCAGACUAUAGAAACUUGGUUUUGUUACAGGGCUAGGUGUGGGAUCCAGGACUUCCCACCUGUGGCCUGAGCUGUACCACUGAGCCACACACCCAGGUCUAGGGUAUGGUUACUUAUUGAUUGCUGGGCAGUCCCAGACCUGUUUUACAAGUGCAGCAUUUAGCAGUUUAUACUGGCAUUACUGCAAUCACAAGACCUUUCCCAGGCUUCUCUCUUAUGCCUCCUCCUUUUGUGGGAGGGAAUGUCCACAGAACCACACCCAGGGCCUCACACCUGAGACAAGCAUUCUUUCCACCAAUCUGCAGGCCUUCCUCUGUUACAUUUUAAGUAGACUGUCCCAAGAUUGGGAUGACACCUCAUCUCCGUUAUGCCAUCUCUUUCACAUGCUAAAUAUAUGUACUCAACUACCAUGGUGACUCUGAGUUCAAGGCCAGCCUGGUCUGCAGAGCAAGUUCCAGAAAAGCCAAGGAAUCCAGAGAAACGCUGUCUUGAAAACCCAAAACAAGUAAGUAAAUAAAACUCAAAUAACCAACUUCUGUUUCACAUUCUAAGCUUAUAGACUCAUCAACUGUCCAUCAGAUGUCUCCAUUUGAGUAAUAACUGCUUAAGCCCCAGAGGCCUGAAAUGGCGUGACUUCCCUUCCUCUUUCAUUUUCAGCAUUCCAAAUUCUUGUUCUUUACUUUCUUUGCCCUUCCUCUGUCAGCUUCCCUAUUCAUGGACUUGCCAGUGCUGCUCAUCUUCCCUCUUAAAUGUCAUCUGUUACUGGAUCAGUCUGCGUCAGAUAUUUAUUGCGUACUCUACCUGUGUAAAUAAAUAAUGUACUUUUUGAAAUUUU